ACCUGGGUGGCUCAGUCGGUUGAGCGUCUGACUUUGGCUUAGGUCAUGAUCUCACAAUUUGUGGGUUUGAGCCCCACAUCAGGCU
rnacentral:tRNA from 1 species